rnacentral:rRNA from 1 species
AACGUACGCUGGCGCAACGCCUAACACAUGCAAGUCGAACGCAGUAGCAAUACUGAGUGGCAGACGGGUGAGUAACAUGUGGGAAUCUGCCUUGUGGUUCAGGACAACAUUGGGAAACCGAUGCUAAUACUGGAUAAGCCCUUACGGGGAAAGUUUUAAUGCCAUAAGAUGAGCCCGCAUUUGAUUAGUUAGUUGGUGAGGUAAUGGCUCACCAAGACAAUGAUCAAUAGCUGAUCUGAGAGGAUGAUCAGCCACACUGGGACUGAGACACGGCCCAGACUCCUACGGGAGGCAGCAGUGGGGAAUCUUGCACAAUGGAGGAAACUCUGAUGCAGCGAUGCCGCGUGAGUGAAGAAGGCCUUUGGGUUGUAAAGCUCUUUUGUAGGGGAAGAUAAUGACUGUACCCUAAGAAUAAGGUCCGGCUAACUUCGUG